GGGACAUUAACUCAGUUGGUUUAGAGUGUUACCUUGACAGGGUAGAAGUCACUGGUUCGAAUCCAGUAUGUCCCA
rnacentral:tRNA from 2 species